UACGUAGGGUCCGAGCGUUGUCCGGAAUUAUUGGGCGUAAAGCGCUCGUAGGCGGUUUGUCGCGUCUGCUGUGAAAUCCCGAGGCUCAACCUCGGGCCUGCAGUGGGUACGGGCAGACUGGAGUGCGGUAGGGGAGAAUGGAAUUCCUGGUGUAGCGGUGGAAUGCGCAGAUAUCAGGAGGAACACCGAUGGCGAAGGCAGUUCUCUGGGCCGUAACUGACGCUGAGGAGCGAAAGCGUGGGGAGCGAACAGG
rnacentral:rRNA from 1 species